GAGCUCAGGUUACAACUGAGGCGCCGGCUAAGGUUGUGAAAGAGUCCAAGAAGCAGGACGAAGGAGUGGUGACUAACAAGUACAAACCUAAGGAACCCUAUGUUGGGAGGUGCCUUCUGAAUACCAAGAUCACUGGUGAUGAUGCUCCUGGAGAAACUUGGCACAUGGUCUUCAGCACUGAAGGUUUAAUAUAUGGAUGAAACUCUCAAUGGUUUCUCUUUCUUUCAAAUUAUUCACAUGUCCACUCACUCCAUGUUUAUGACAUAAAUCCUGAGAGAAUGUAAUUUCGUCUCUGAACUGAUAAUUAUGUGGAGUAAGUAUAAGAUUACAACUUAGUAGAUUAUUGAUUGAGCCAAUUACUAGUAGCUUUGACCAUAUAUAUGCUAAAUUAUUUAACAAGAACAAGAAAAGUGUUUCGAUUCUAUUUUGAAUUCAAGAUAGUGAUAUUUUUAAUUCCUAACUAGUUAAGUAACCUUAGGAAUUAGAAAUCCAUGAUUCAUGAUGAAAUUAAAGGUAUUCAUAUAUGUAUGUAUACAGGUACAUAUAUGAUAUAAUUCUAGAUGUAUUACAAGAGUAUUUUCACUGCAAAGUAAAGUGUUGGAAUUGAACAAAUUGAACUGGUAGGAGUUUGAUGAUUUCUGUUGAUUAGAUCAUGAUAAGGGUGUUGGUUAAGUUGAACUGAUUAGAUUUGUUGGGUUGAUUAGGAGAGGUUCCCUACAGAGAAGGGCAGUCCAUUGGGGUGAUUGCAGAUGGUGUUGACAAGAACGGGAAGCCUCACAAACUGAGGUUGUAUUCAAUUGCCAGCAGUGCUCUUGGUGAUUUUGGAGAUUCCAAGACUGUAAGCUCAAAAUGUUGCAAAUAUAUUUUCUUUUAUUUAUGAAUUCUGUAUUGAGCUUACAUAAUAAUUUGCAUAUUCUCCUAUCUAUUUGCAGGUUUCUCUGUGUGUGAAACGACUUGUUUACACAAAUGAGCAAGGAGAAAUCGUCAAAGGAGUUUGCUCAAAUUUCUUGUGUAAGGAUGAAGCAAAUUAGGGAUAAACUUCUAAGAAUGUUUGACAAGGAACAGUUCUUCAUUAAGGCAGACCUGAUUAGUGAUUAAAAUGGCUUUUGGUUUCUCCUUUUCAGGUGACUUGAAACCUGGGGCUGAAGUAAAGAUUACAGGACCUGUUGGGAAAGAAAUGCUUAUGCCAAAAGAUCCCAAUGCCACAAUCAUUAUGGUUUUACACGAUUAAACAUUUUUUUUUUCGAGGAUCAUGCAGUACUUAUCUAUUGCUUUUUCUCACCCAGUUUUUUUUCUUCUGAAUGCAGCUUGCGACAGGAACUGGUAUUGCCCCUUUCCGGUCAUUUUUGUGGAAAAUGUUCUUUGAGAAGCAUGAAGAUUACAAGGUAUAAGAAAGAUGAAGCCUGGUUUUUUUUUUUUUUUUUCUUUUUUUCCCUUUUGGUUCCUAACUGACCAUUAAGGAAUUAUCAAUAUAUCAUACACUAUCAUUUACGAAAGAUAAUUGACAAGCAUUGAGAGUUGUCCUCUACCUAAUGCAAAGACAUUGAUUACUUUCUCGCUUGCGACAUGAAUAUAGAUGAGUAUGCUGAUGACUUAUGUAAAGACUUAGGUUAUGUUUGGUUCAAUUGCCUUUCAAAUUGAGAGUUGAAUUCAUAUUGUCAAGGAAUUCAAAGUAUAAGCAAUAGUAAAAUAAAAUAAAUUGUAUUCUAUAAUUAUGAGAAUUAGUAUUUUAGUAAUUGAUUGAAAAUUCAACAAGAAUUGAACCAAACACAUUGCUGUGUCUUCUUUCAAACAUUGUCUGAAAAUGGUGCUUAUAAAUCAAGACUCCUGCCUAUUUUCUACUUGUCAAGUAAUUGGUUUCUCAUUAAUGUAUGAAAGUCUCAGCAUAAUUGGUCAGGUAAAUUUACUAUAUUUCGAGUGCCUUAUUUCUUUUUCUUUUUCUUUUCCUGCCAUAAGCAAUCUAUUAUUAGAUGAUUACUGAUUUAGCUUUUGACAUUAUGAUUUUAGUUCAAUGGUUUGGGAUGGCUGUUCUUGGGUGUCCCAACAAGCAGUUCUCUGCUUUACAAGGAGGUAAACUAGACAAAAAAAAACUUUCCUUACUAGCAGGAUGCUUUAGUUUCAAUUUCCUACUGUCUUUUAGCAUUAAACAGUUGCUCAAUCUGCUGAGACUUACGCUGAGCUUCCUCGAGUCAGGAAUUUGAGAAGAUGAAGGAGAAGUAUCCUGACAACUUCAGGCUUGACUUCGCUGUGAGCAGAGAGCAAACUAACGAAAAGGGAGAAAAGAUGUAUAUUCAAACCAGGAUGGCUCAGUAUGCAGAAGAGCUAUGGGAGUUACUCAAGAAGGAUAGCACCUAUGUUUACAUGUGUGGAUUGAAGGGGAUGGAGAAGGGAAUUGAUGACAUAAUGGUCUCUUUGGCUGCUAAAGACGGUAAGUGUAUAGUAAACCAUACAUUAAUAAGAGAGUAUAAACUGUUCCAGAAGCACAGAUAUGUUAGCAGACCCCAUGUAUAUGAUUGGUGCAUUUCAAAUUUUCGUAGUAAUCCACUUAUAUUUAUUGGGUUUUGCAAAUUCGUCUAUGCCCCUGCAGUAUCUAGCUCUUUUGCCACAUAAGUUAACCCGAGCAGAAGAUUUACAAAAACAAAAAGAACCAUUAGGAAUUAUACAUAUAUUUCAAUAAGUAUACACAGUUGAUAAGUUACAUAAAGGAAAUGAUUUUCUUUAUGAAUUCUUUAGUAUCACUAGUUAUAGACCUUGUUUGAUCAAACUAACAAGGAUUUAGUCUCAGUACAAGAAAGUGAUUUGAGAGUACACUAAUCUUACAAGAAAAAAGAACUAUACAACCAAAGCUCGCUUACUUCAUUUCUUUCUCAGUGUGGACUUUCCGGUGUAGGAUGCGUAGUAACUUUAUGAAAAAAUGUUAACUAACAAUUUACAUGUAGAAAUUAGGUAAUAUUGCCUGUAAUGGGUGUUUGCUUUAAUUUUCAG
rnacentral:lncRNA from 1 species